CUUUACAACAAUGAAGCAUGGCAGGUAAAUUUUAAAGCAGUAAAGGCAUCAAAGAACACAGCUGCUAAACAAACUUCAAUUUUAAUCAAAGAUACUUAUGUUUACGAAGACAUUUAGAGGCAAAUGAGACUCUUGGCAUUUCUUCAUUUAUUUUAAAUGUAUUAGGAGCUAAUUCAGUGGGCCAAAAUUUCCAGAAGCACUAUAAUAAUGUGCUCUAGUACAACAAAAUGACCACAGAACAUAGCAUAAGAAUCAUAGAAGUGGAGAAGCGCAUCCAAUGGAUGAUAGAAGAGGAAAUGAAUGAAUGGAACUCCUCUGGACAGAAACUCCUGAAGGAAUGUCGAGGCAGAAGUGGGGACAGAAUCAAAGGGCCCAUUUUAUGAUUAUGGAGACUAUACUUGGGGCAAUACCCAGUCUCCUGGCCACCUUGUUCGCCAGCUGCAGAAAAGCCUACUCUCAGCUUCAUUCAUAUGCCUGAUAUAUGUUUCCUGCUCAGCUGGACAGCAGGCUAAGGACAAUGAUUUGAGGUACAGCACCUUCCCCUGCCCAUUUGACAGCUGGUUGCAUGACUGCUUGUAAAUGAAUGUGAAUAACCUCAUCUUCUGGGAAAUACAGGAGUAUCAACUGAUGAAUUUUAUGUCAAAUACAUGGUCUGAAUUUUGAGCUUUACCUUAGGCAAAUUCAAAUGUUCUUUCCAGGCAAGGCAAAAGAUGGAGUAUCUGGAGUUGUCUUAGCUUGAAAUGGUUUCUAAG
rnacentral:lncRNA from 1 species